rnacentral:lncRNA from 1 species
GCAAAGCAGAUUCAAGGCUUGACUGCAACGGUCUCCUUUCCAGCUCAUCAGGUCGUCACAGCUAAUAGAUUCGAGUGUCUCCAAUCAUGUAUUAGGGCUUACUAAAGUUCUCAGCUUGUAUAAAUAGAUGAGAUGGGUGUAGCGUUGUUUCUAAGUUGAAAAAGUAAUAAAACGUAUUUCUUUGAGCUUUCUUCUUCUCUGUUCUUGUGUUUCACACUGAUGACUUCGCACCCAAACGAUUCUUCUUCCUUACUGUCUCAUC